rnacentral:rRNA from 1 species
UCAGGAACAAGAACUGGGCAAGACCGGUGCCAGCCGCCGCGGUAACACCGGCAGCUCGAGUGAUGACCGAUAUUAUUGGGCCUAAAGCGUCCGUAGCUGGCCGAGAGGGUCCGUCGGGAAAUCUGCUCGCUCAACGAGCAGGCGUCCGGCGGAAACCAAUCGGCUUGGGACCGGAAGACCUGAGGGGUACGUCUGGGGUAGGAGUGAAAUCCCGUAAUCCUGGACGGACCACCGGUGGCGAAAGCGCCUCAGGAAGUCGGAUCCGACAGUGAGGGACGAAAGCUGGGGUCACGAACCGGAUUAGAUACCCGGGUAGUCCCAGCUGUAAACGAUGCUCACUAGGUGUGGCACUGGCUACGAGCCAGUGCUGUGCCGCAGGGAAGCCGUGAAGUGAGCCGCCUGGGAAGUACGUCCGCAAGGAUGAAACUUAAAGGAAUUGGCGGGGGAGCACUACAACCGGAGGAGCCUGCGGUUUAAUUGGACUCAACGCCGGACAUCUCACCAGCUCCGACAGUAUGCAGUGACAGUCAGUGUGAUGAGCUUACUUGAGCUACUGAGAGGAGGUGCAUGGCCGCCGUCAGCUCGUACCGUGAGGCGUCCUGUUAAGUCAGGCAACGAGCGAGACCCGCACUCUUAAUUGCCAGCAUAGGCCUUUGGCCUGAUGGGUACAUUAGGAGGACUGCCAGUGCUAAACUGGAGGAAGGAACGGGCAACGGUAGGUCAGUAUGCCCCGAAUGAGCUGGGCUACACGCGGGCUACAAUGGUCGAGACAGUGGGAUGCAACCCCGAGAGGGGGCGCUAAUCUCCGAAACUCGAUCGUAGUUCGGAUUGCGGGCUGAAACUCGCCCGCAUGAAGCUGGAUUCGGUAGUAAUCGCCUCUCAGAAGGAGGCGGUGAAUACGUCCCUGCUCCUUGCACACACCGCCCGUCAAAGCACCCGAGUGAGGUCCGGAUGAGGCC